rnacentral:rRNA from 2 species
UACGAGGGGAGCUAGCGUUGUUCGGAAUUACUGGGCGUAAAGGGCGUGUAGGCGGUACCGUAAGUCAGAUGUGAAAGCCCCAGGCUUAACCUGGGAGGUGCAUUUGAUACUGCGGAACUAGAGAUCGAGAGAGGAAAGUGGAAUUACGAGUGUAGAGGUGAAAUUCGUAGAUAUUCGUAAGAACACCAGUGGCGAAGGCGGCUUUCUGGCUCGAUACUGACGCUAAGGCGCGAAAGCGUGGGGAGCAAACAGG